rnacentral:rRNA from 1 species
UACGUAGGGGGCUAGCGUUGUCCGGAAUCAUUGGGCGUAAAGCGCGCGUAGGCGGCCCGGUAAGUCCGCUGUGAAAGUCAAAGGCUCAACCUUUGAAAGCCGGUGGAUACUGCCGGGCUAGAGUCCGGAAGAGGCGAGUGGAAUUCCUGGUGUAGCGGUGGAAUGCGCAGAUAUCAGGAGGAACACCUAUAGCGAAGGCAGCUUGCUGGGACGUUACUGACGCUAAGGCGCGAAAGCGUGGGGAGCGAACAGG